rnacentral:rRNA from 1 species
UACGAAGGGGGCUAGCGUUGUUCGGAAUUACUGGGCGUAAAGCGCACGUAGGCGGCUUCUUAAGUCGGUGGUGAAAUCCUGGAGCUCAACUCCAGAACUGCCUUCGAUACUGGGAGCUCGAGUCCGGGAGAGGUGAGUGGAACUGCGAGUGUAGAGGUGAAAUUCGUAGAUAUUCGCAAGAACACCAGUGGCGAAGGCGGCUCACUGGCCCGGUACUGACGCUGAGGUGCGAAAGCGUGGGGAGCAAACAGGG